UUACGGCCACAUCAUAUUGAAACACUAUUUCCCAAACAAUCACAGAAGUUAAGAAAUGUUGAGCCAGGUCAGUACCUAGAAGGGUGACCACUUGGGAAUACCAGGUGCUGUAAG